rnacentral:tRNA from 1 species
UGAGGAUGUAGCUCAGUUGGUAGAGUGCUUGCCUCGAAUGCACAAGGCCUUGGGUUCAAUCCCCAGCACCACAA